AAACUGCCCCAUAAGUUUUGCAACUGUAGCAGUUUUGGCCCCCCAAGGCCAAUUUUGGGUAAAAAAAAAAAAAACGUGGCACCUCACUUAGGGUGCCACGUUAGCAUAGACCGAGUCAAAAUUGACUUUGGGGGCCAAAACUGCCAUAGAUGCAAAACUUAAGGGGCGGUUU
rnacentral:pre_miRNA from 1 species